AGUGGCGAACGGGUGAGUAAAGUAUCGGAACGUGCCCAGUCGUGGGGGAUAACGUAGCGAAAGUUACGCUAAUACCGCAUACGAUCUAUGGAUGAAAGCGGGGGAUCGCAAGACCUCGCGCGAUUGGAGCGGCCGAUAUCAGAUUAGGUAGUUGGUGGGGUAAAGGCUCACCAAGCCGACGAUCUGUAGCUGGUCUGAGAGGACGACCAGCCACACUGGGACUGAGACACGGCCCAGACUCCUACGGGAGGCAGCAGUGGGGAAUUUUGGACAAUGGGCGCAAGCCUGAUCCAGCCAUGCCGCGUGCAGGAUGAAGGCCUUCGGGUUGUAAACUGCUUUUGUACGGAACGAAAAGGUUUGGCCUAAUAAGCUGAGCUCAUGACGGUACCGUAAGAAUAAGCACCGGCUAACUACGUGCCAGCAGCCGCGGUAAUACGUAGGGUGCGAGCGUUAAUCGGAAUUACUGGGCGUAAAGCGUGCGCAGGCGGUUAUGUAAGACAGAUGUGAAAUCCCCGGGCUCAACCUGGGAACUGCAUUAGUGACUGCAUAGCUGGAGUACGGCAGAGGGGGGAUGGAAUUCCGCGUGUAGCAGUGAAAUGCGUAGAUAUGCGGAGGAACACCGAUGGCGAAAGGCAAUCCCCUGGGCCUGUACUGACGCUCAUGCACGAAAGCGUGG
rnacentral:rRNA from 1 species